rnacentral:tRNA from 1 species
CUCCAGUUAGCCUAGUGGUUAAGACUAUGGAUCGCCAAUCCGGAGGCAGCGGGUUCGAUUCCCGUUCUGGUCA